GCCCCAGUCCCGCAGCUGUGAGGGUUCGAGAGGCUGCUCUGCAGGCCUGGGUGUCCAGGGCAUGAGCGGGGUGUGGGGGGCCGGAGGGCCUCGGUGCCAGGCGGCGCUCGCGGUCCUGGCCUCACUGUGCCGGGCCCGGCCGCCUCCUCUUGGGCUGGACGUGGAGACUUGUCGGAGCUUCGAACUGCAGCCCCCAGAGAGGAGUCCGAGCGCUGCCGACGCAGGCACCUCUGUCAGCCUCCUCGCCUUGGUAGUUAUUGUGUGUGGCGUGGCCCUGGUGGCAGUUUUUCUCUUUCUCUUUUGGAAGCUGUGCUGGAUGCCCUGGAGGAACAAGGAGGCCUCCAGUCCCUCUGCUGCUAACCCUCCUUUGGAGGCCCUCCAGAGUCCCAGCUCCAGAGGCAACAUGGCGGACAAGCUGAAGGACCCCAGUACCCUGGGCUUCCUGGAGGCGGCCGUGAAGAUCAGCCACACGUCUCCAGAUAUCCCGGCGGAGGUGCAAAUGUCAGUUAAGGAGCACAUCAUGCGUCACACCCGGCUGCAGCGACAGACCACAGAGCCAGCAUCAUCCACCAGGCACACGUCCUUCAAGCGCCACCUGCCACGGCAGAUGCACGUCUCCAGCGUAGACUAUGGCAAUGAGCUGCCACCCGCGGCGGAACAGCCCACCAGCAUCGGCCGCAUCAAGCCUGAGCUCUACAAGCAGAAGUCAGUGGACGGCGAAGAAGCCAAGUCCGAGGCCGCAAAGAGCUGUGGGAAGAUCAACUUUAGCCUACGCUACGACUACGAGAGUGAGACCCUGAUCGUGCGCAUCCUGAAGGCCUUUGACCUCCCUGCCAAGGACUUUUGUGGAAGCUCUGACCCUUAUGUCAAGAUCUACCUCCUGCCUGACCGUAAAUGCAAGCUGCAGACCCGGGUGCACCGCAAGACCCUGAACCCCACCUUUGAUGAGAACUUCCACUUCCCUGUCCCCUACGAGGAGCUGGCUGACCGUAAGCUGCAUCUCAGUGUCUUUGACUUCGACCGCUUUUCCCGCCAUGACAUGAUUGGGGAGGUCAUCUUGGACAACCUCUUUGAGGCCUCCGACCUGUCCCGGGAAACCUCCAUCUGGAAGGACAUCCAGUAUGCCACCAGUGAAAGCGUGGACUUGGGAGAGAUCAUGUUCUCCCUCUGCUACCUGCCCACAGCCGGCAGGCUAACCCUCACGGUGAUCAAAUGUCGCAACCUCAAGGCGAUGGACAUCACAGGCUAUUCAGAUCCCUACGUCAAAGUGUCCCUGCUUUGUGAUGGGCGGAGGCUGAAGAAGAAGAAAACAACCAUAAAGAAGAACACUCUCAAUCCUGUCUACAAUGAGGCCAUCAUCUUUGACAUUCCCCCAGAAAACAUGGAUCAAGUCAGCCUGCUCAUCUCAGUGAUGGAUUACGAUCGAGUGGGUCACAAUGAGAUCAUAGGAGUCUGUCGUGUGGGGAUCAAUGCUGAAGGUCUGGGCAGGGACCACUGGAACGAGAUGCUGGCAUACCCACGGAAGCCCAUCGCACACUGGCACUCCUUGGUGGAAGUAAAGAAAUCCUUCAAAGAGGGAAACCCUCGGUUGUGAUUUCAUUCACGUGGAUGCUGCAAAGCAGAGAGACUACCACCUGGAGUUAGGAUGGCAGGGCAGAGCUGCCAGCUUCGACAGCGAGAGCUCAUGCCCGUCUCCAAAACCACCUCCGACGCCAUGAGCCACGAGGCCGAGCCACACCAAUGGGACUCAGCAACGUUCUUUUCACACUUGUUCAGCCGUCUAAAUGCAGUGUUGUGCAACCGCGGUGCGCAGUGGCCGUCUGCCGCUCCAGAGUCUUAACUGCUCCUGUGUAGGUCAAGGCCGAGACACUUGUCGUGUGGUCAGAUCUGUCUUAGUCUUUUCUGUCUCCCAGGUGAUGUUUUUGUGGUUUUCACUUUGUAUGGGUCUGCUGUCAAGAAAAGAAGAAAACAAAAAACAAAACAAAACAAAAAUCAAUAAGGGGAGGGAAAAAAAAGGUUGGAGAGCCCAGAAGUUAGUUCUGUAAAAUGAAAUGUAAAAUAGUAGUGGUCUUUGCAGGAGAGGUAGAUUGAGUUUUUUAAGAUUUUUGUGUCUCCCCCAACCUCUGCCACCUUGGAGAAGGAGGCAGUGGUGUGGAGCUAUGGCUACCUUUUCAGUGCCCUGCAGGGACGGUGCCAAUCAAUUCAAGAGUAAGUGUUACUCUUUGAAGUUCUUCGCUGGUGUGACUUAAACCAAGUUGCGGACUCCUGAUCCCAUGUUGAAAUUACAGGACCUCUGCGGUGUUUGUGAACUUCUGCUGAUGUGCAGGGGCUUCUCGCUUGCCUUUCUUAUUGGCUUUCCUCCUGAACUGAAACCAUCUUGAUUCCUCACUUUCUUUAGGAAUGAUUCUGCUAAAAACUAACCAUGCCAUAUGUCUUCUGAUGCAUCACAGUUAAUGAUCACAUUUGUUUGAAAACAGGAUCUUUGUUCUCGAAAAUAACCUUGGUUGUAAAGAAAGACAGGCGCAUAUGUUCCAGAAUGAUUUCUGCAUUAUACAUAGCUUUGUAGUUUUAUGAAGUGUCAAGCAGCUGUUUUUCAAUGCCUCAAGAGAUCAAAAGAAAACCUAGAUAGAAUAUUCUUUUCUGGAUGGGAAGUUUCAAAGUCCAAGUCACAGCUCGAGUCCCUCUUUCUGGGAAGAGGAGCUUCUUGAUUGAAAUCCAGUCAGCCUGAGCCUAUUUCAACCCCCAUGGACUCUGGGACAGUACUCAUCUUAAAUUUAGUUCUAUAAAUCACUAAGAAUUCGGUGUUUGUUUUUGUGAUAGUGAGGGGUCUGUUUUUGUUUUUUCCUUUAGAUCUCUACCUUAGGCCAAAUUCAGUUUAAAGAAAAAAAAAAUGUUUGAACUAAUCUGUAUUGUAACGACACAUUCCUGUUAUGUUAGUAGUGGCCUUUACACCAACCCCUAUAACUAGGCUGAUUUGCUCAAUCUCUGUCUGUAUGAUCCUGGGAAGCACACAGAGGAGGGUUUCCACUUCACGUUGUGACUACACAGUUCCAACUUCCAGAGCUGCGAGAAUGUCCCACACAUUCAAGAAGCAAGUCAGGAAACAACCCCCAUCUUCCAACCAUGGAAGGUUAAGAACGUCAAAACUAUUCACACACUUUGUGUCUUAUUCUUAUAUAUGUCACAUGCCACAAGAGGAGCAACUUAAGAAAGUAACCCUCAUUUUAAGCCAAGUUACCAGGUUUCUCUGCCAAUAUAACUUUAGCUAAUGUCUGCUAGCCCUAAAAGUGACCAGAUGGGCUAACAGGAUAUCAUGGCAAAAGAAAUUUCCAACCUAGAAAAGUAAAUGCAGAUGAAUCUAAACUCUACUCUGUGUCGAGCUUUAGGCCAAGGACUAAUGUGCAAGGUCUUCCUAGUCAGGUAGUCCUGCAUUUGAAGUGAGAAAAAAAAAAUCAUGACCAGACUCCUAGCAGGUGACAAACUUCAUUGUGUUUCUUGACUCUAGACUGACCCCAUCAAGAUGGCCACCUUAAUCAUUGAGCAGAUGCAGCAGGUCUUGCAACUAUGAAGGGGACAGUUGAGUUCCCUGGGUUAACAAGGAGCCCAGAAAUAGUGUGAGAGGCUCCUCCCAGAAUUGAGCUCAAAAUGCAUGUCCAGCUGCCAUCUAUAAACCCUUAAGCAGGAGAGGAUGGCCCAUUCUAACCUUCUGGAGGAGGGAGUGUGAUCAGUGUGAAUUGUGGGAUUGCAUUUUUCAUCUGAGAGAUUUAUAUCCAAGUAGCUUUCUCCCGCAAGGAAACAUUCCAACAGUUUCAGAUCAUUUCCUGAAAAGAUUAUGGCCAAUCCCACAGCUCCCCAACCAACAACUACUACUAUGGCUCCAGCAGGCUAGGUAAAUUCCUACAGGCAUGGGAACCCACCCAGGAAGGCUCCUGGACCCCCCCACCACACACACAUACACACACACACACACACACACACACACACACCCCAGCGCCAUCAGGAGAGGCCAGUCCUCGACCUGAUGCAUGAAUGAGACCUAAAGAGCUGCCAGCUUCAUCAUCUAGCCCAGUAUCUCUCCCUUGCAGAUGAGAGUAAAUUGAAAUACAAGUUUCAGAAUACGCUGAAAUUCAAAGUGAUUCAUUUGUCCUCUGCUUCCUCUGGCAUGAGAAUCCUCCUGGGUGGUAGUUGUGGGCUUUGCUGAAGUUGUGAUAACCAGGGCCAUUUGCACACAGAUGUUGAUUUAAAAAACACAAAGUUCCCUUCUCCUUUAUUUAGCAGUGUUUCUGGGCUGUCCCCUCCCCCUCUGCGCUUACCCAAGAUGUUAAUUAAUUGUAUCAUCAUUUAAAAAAUUAUGUUGUUAAUUACUGCUUUGUGUCUUCCCACCCCUGUCACAGCCUGGAGUUUUUAUUCAAUUAAAUCUCUGUCUCU